AUACGUAGGGGGCGAGCGUUGUCCGGAAUGAUUGGGCGUAAAGGGCGCGUAGGCGGCCUGUUAAGUCUGGAGUGAAAGUCCUGUUUUCAAGAUGGGAAUUGCUUUGGAUACUGAUGGGCUUGAGUGCAGGAGAGGUUAUCGGAAUUCCCGGUGUAGCGGAGAAAUGCGUAGAGAUCGGGAGGAACACCAGUGGCGAAGGCGGGUAACUGGACUGCAACUGACGCUGAGGCGCGAAAGUGUGGGGAGCAAACAGGAUUAGAUACCCUGGUAGUCCACACUGUAAACGAUGAAUGCUAGGUGUAAGAGGUAUCGAUCCCUUUUGUGCCGGAGUUAACACAAUAAGCAUUCCGCCUGGGGAGUACGGCCGCAAGGUUGAAACUCAAAGGAAUUGACGGGG
rnacentral:rRNA from 1 species